CUUUUUGGUAAUAAUUUAAAGUCUGACCUGCCCAAUGAGAAAUUUAAUGGCSGCGGUAUUUUAACCGUGCAAAGGUAGCAUAAUAAUUAGUUUCUUGAUUAGAAGCUUGUAUGAAAGGUUUGAUGAAAAAAUAGCUGUCUCUGUUUAAAUUAAUUAGAAUUUUAUUUUUAAGUAAGAAAGCUUAAAUAUAUAUUGAAGACGAGAAGACCCUAUAGAGUUUUAUAUUAGAAUUAUCUUAAUUUUUUAGAAUUUAGGAAUUUUGGUUAAUUUUAGUAUUUUAUUGGGGUGAUUAAAAAAUUAAUUGAACUUUUUUUUCAUCUAAUCAUUAAUUUAUGAAUAAUUGAUCCUUAAAGAAGAUUAAAAGAUUAAAUUACCUUAGGGAUAACAGCGUAAUUUUCUUUGAGAGUUCUAAUCGAAAAGAAAGUUUGCGACCUCGAUGUUGGAUUAAAAUGAAAUUUUGGCGCAGAAGCUAGA
rnacentral:rRNA from 1 species